CUGGCCCCCCUAUUAUGGUUUAAUCUGUCUUGCUAGCAGAGCAAAUGUGUUGUUUCUCAGCUUCCUUUGGCACCCAAGCCCAAAUCAUCCUUUGUUUCGUGGCUCCUUUUUCUGCUUCAGAAGUAGGAAGAAAUCCUGCACUCAGGAACGAAGUCCAGAGGCUGAACCAGAGAAAGCAGAAUGAGUUAUAUUAAAGUCUUUCUCAAACUGCCAGUUCUGAUCUGAGAAGAUUCGGGUCAACGUCCCCAAGCGGGGCUUCCUGCCUCCUACCCGGGGUAGG